UUGACCUCAAAUCGGGUGAGACUACCCGCUGAACUUAAGCAUAUCAAUAAGCGGAGGAAAAGAAACUAACAAGGAUUCCCCUAGUAACUGCGAGUGAUGGAGAAGCGUUUAUCCGCGUCGGACCGUGUACAA
rnacentral:rRNA from 1 species